CCUACGGGAGGCAGCAGUGGGGAAUAUUGCACAAUGGGGGAAACCCUGAUGCAGCGACGCCGCGUGAGUGAAGAAGUAUUUCGGUAUGUAAAGCUCUAUCAGCAGGGAAGAUAAUGACGUUACCUGACUAAGAAGCCCCGGCUAACUACGUGCCAGCAGCCGCGGUAAUACGGAGGGGGCAAGCGUAAUCCGGAUUUACUGGGUGUAAAGGGUGCGUAGGUGGUAGGGCAAGUCAGAUGUGAACGCCCGGGGCUCAACCCCGGUACUGCAUUUGAAACUGUCCAGCUGGAGUGCGGGAGAGGUAAGCGGAAUUCGUAGUGUAGCGGUGAAAUGCGUAGAUAUUAGGAGGAACACCAGUGGCGAAGGCGGCUUACUGUACUGUAACUGACACUGAGGCACGAAAGCGUGGGGAGCGAACAGGAUUAGAUACCCGAGUAGUC
rnacentral:rRNA from 1 species